rnacentral:rRNA from 1 species
CCUACGGGUGGCAGCAGUGGGGAAUAUUGCACAAUGGGGGAAACCCUGAUGCAGCAACGCCGCGUGAAGGAAGACGGCUUUCGGAUUGUAAACUUCUGUUCUCAGUGACGAAUAAUGACGUGAUCUAAGGAGCAAGCGCCGCCUCACAACGUGCCAGCAGCCCCGGUAAUACGUAGGUGGCAAGCGUGUUCCGGAAUUACUGGGUGUAAAGGGGGCGCAGGCGGGAAGCCAAGUCAGAUGUGAAAACCACGGGCUUAACGUGUAGACUGCAGUUGAAAAUGGUUUUCUUGAGUGAAGUAGAGGCUGGCGGAAUUCCGAGUGUAGCGGUGAAAUGCGUAGAUAUUAGGAGGAACACCGGUGGCGAAGGCGGCCAGCUGGGCUGUAACUGACGCUGAGGCUCGAAAGUGUGGGGAGCAAACAGGAUUAGAUACCCGAGUAGUC